UGGCAGUGCGGCAGCUAUACAUGCAGUCGAGCGGACAGAUGGGAGCUUGCUCCCUGAUGUUAGCGGCGGACGGGUGAGUAACACGUGGGUAACCUGCCUGUAAGACUGGGAUAACUCCGGGAAACCGGGGCUAAUACCGGAUGGUUGUUUGAACCGCAUGGUUCAGACAUAAAAGGUGGCUUCGGCUACCACUUACAGAUGGACCCGCGGCGCAUUAGCUAGUU
rnacentral:rRNA from 1 species